rnacentral:lncRNA from 1 species
ACAUUCGUGGGAUGCAAUGUGAUUUUUUGAAAUAUGUAUCCAAUGUGGGAUGAUUACAUCACAUUAACUUAUCCAUCGCCUUGUUUACCUAUGACUUUUAUGUGAUCUUUGUGAACAGCCAUGACUCCUCUCUCAAGUCGGAGCCCUUUUCAGGUCCCCAGAAAACUUGGAGAAGAAAAGUCUAACCUGAAAAGCCAUAUCCCUAGACCAUUUCUUCUCUUCCAGCUGGAAAGGAACUAUGGGGCAAACAGGCAAUGUUGCAACUUAACCCUGUGUUAGGUUGUUUUUUUUUUUUUUUUUUUUUUUAGACAGAGUCUCGCUCUGUCGCACAGGCUGGAGUGCAGUGGCAAUCUCGGCUCACUGCAACCUCCACCUCCCAGGUUCAAGUAAUUCUCCUGCCUCGGCCUGCCGAGUAGCUGGGAUUACAGGUGCGCGCCACCAUGCCCAGCUAAUUGUGAUCCGCCCACCUUGGCCUCCCAAAGUGCUGGGAUUACAGGCAUGAGCCUGUAUGAUCCCAGGGUGCCCUCUGUCCUCCUGCAAGUGCUUGUUAUCUUUCUUUUUAAAUUAAAAAAAAUUUUUUGUGGCUACAUAGUAGGUAUAUGUAUAUAUAUAUGUAUAUGUAUAUAUAUAUAUUUAUGGGGUAUAUGGGAUAUUUUGAUUCAGGCACACAGUGU